AUUUUUGCUGUAAAUAUUCUCGAAUGACAUUUGUUUUGUCCGUCAAAUCUUCCACUAAUAUAUCAGCCUAUUUAAUAACAUUCGUUGCAACUCACGAAUUGGAAAACAGUAGCAUUUCCUCAUUGACCGCAGCAACACUGUCUUACUCGUUCGUUUCGUUUGCUUCGCCAUCAAGUUCGGUGACAAAAGAUUAUUUCUUCGUUUUUGCCUUUGCCUUGGCUAGUGAGUUUCAAUUUUUGUGCAUCGGUUUGCAGAAAAAUAAAUUUUUAUAAGAAACGAAUAUUUUCAAACACAAGGCAAUUGACUUUGAAGAAAAACUCCAAUCUUUUCCGAAAAAAAGAUAAGUUUAAAUUUUAAUACACUUGUAAAGAUCUAAAUAUUGUUUCAUAUAAAUUGUGGAAAUCGCAUAUCUGCGACGAAAAUAGUGUAAACUAGUUAAAUCACCAACAACUUGUUUGCGUCUUCUAUUCGUUACAAAUUUUACGUUAUCGGCAACCGUGAGUGUGUGCGUGUGAGUUGAGUGUAUCGUUUAAAUCUCCAGUCACACAGUUGGGUCAAACAGCCAGUGCGUGUUAGAAAGUUGAAUUGAUUUUCUAAACAAAAACAUCAAUAAUUUUAA